rnacentral:rRNA from 1 species
GAUGAACGCUGGCGGCGUGCCUAAUACAUGCAAGUAGAACGCUGAAGGAAGGAGCUUGCUCUUUCCGGAUGAGUUGCGAACGGGUGAGUAACGCGUAGGUAACCUGCCUGGUAGCGGGGGAUAACUAUUGGAAACGAUAGCUAAUACCGCAUAACAGUAGAUGUUGCAUGAUAUCUACUUAAAAGGUGCAAUUGCACCACUACCAGAUGGACCUGCGUUGUAUUAGCUAGUUGGUGAGGUAACGGCUCACCAAGGCGACGAUACAUAGCCGACCUGAGAGGGUGAUCGGCCACACUGGGACUGAGACACGGCCCAGACUCCUACGGGAGGCAGCAGUAGGGAAUCUUCGGCAAUGGACGGAAGUCUGACCGAGCAACGCCGCGUGAGUGAAGAAGGUUUUCGGAUCGUAAAGCUCUGUUGUAAGAGAGGAACGAGUGUGAGAGUGGAAAGUUCACACUGUGACGGUAGCUUACCAGAAAGGGACGGCUAACUACGUG